GAUGAACGCUGGCGGCGUGCCUAAUACAUGCAAGUCGAGCGAACGGACGAGAAGCUUGCUUCUCUGAUGUUAGCGGCGGACGGGUGAGUAACACGUGGAUAACCUACCUAUAAGACUGGGAUAACUUCGGGAAACCGUAGCUAAUACCGGAUAAUAUUUUGAACCGCAUGGUUCAAAAGUGAAAGACGGUCUUGCUGUCACUUAUAGAUGGAUCCGCGCUGCAUUAGCUAGUUGGUAAGGUAACGGCUUACCAAGGCAACGAUGCAUAGCCGACCUGAGAGGGUGAUCGGCCACACUGGAACUGAGACACGGUCCAGACUCCUACGGGAGGCAGCAGUAGGGAAUCUUCCGCAAUGGGCGAAAGCCUGACGGAGCAACGCCGCGUGAGUGAUGAAGGUCUUCGGAUCGUAAAACUCUGUUAUUAGGGAAGAACAUAUGUGUAAGUAACUGUGCACAUCUUGACGGUACCUAAUCAGAAAGCCACGGCUAACUACGUGCCAGCAGCCGCGGUAAUACGUAGGUGGCAAGCGUUAUCCGGAAUUAUUGGGCGUAAAGCGCGCGUAGGCGGUUUUUUAAGUCUGAUGUGAAAGCCCACGGCUCAACCGUGGAGGGUCAUUGGAAACUGGAAAACUUGAGUGCAGAAGAGGAAAGUGGAAUUCCAUGUGUAGCGGUGAAAUGCGCAGAGAUAUGGAGGAACACCAGUGGCGAAGGCGACUUUCUGGUCUGUAACUGACGCUGAUGUGCGAAAGCGUGGGGAUCAAACAGGAUUAGAUACCCUGGUAGUCCACGCCGUAAACGAUGAGUGCUAAGUGUUAGGGGGUUUCCGCCCCUUAGUGCUGCAGCUAACGCAUUAAGCACUCCGCCUGGGGAGUACGACCGCAAGGUUGAAACUCAAAGGAAUUGACGGGGGCCCGCACAAGCGGUGGAGCAUGUGGUUUAAUUCGAAGCAACGCGAAGAACCUUACCAAAUCUUGACAUCCUUUGACAACUCUAGAGAUAGAGCCUUCCCCUUCGGGGGACAAAGUGACAGGUGGUGCAUGGUUGUCGUCAGCUCGUGUCGUGAGAUGUUGGGUUAAGUCCCGCAACGAGCGCAACCCUUAAGCUUAGUUGCCAUCAUUAAGUUGGGCACUCUAAGUUGACUGCCGGUGACAAACCGGAGGAAGGUGGGGAUGACGUCAAAUCAUCAUGCCCCUUAUGAUUUGGGCUACACACGUGCUACAAUGGACAAUACAAAGGGCAGCGAAACCGCGAGGUCAAGCAAAUCCCAUAAAGUUGUUCUCAGUUCGGAUUGUAGUCUGCAACUCGACUACAUGAAGCUGGAAUCGCUAGUAAUCGUAGAUCAGCAUGCUACGGUGAAUACGUUCCCGGGUCU
rnacentral:rRNA from 1 species